AUGGAUGAACAACAUAAGCUUAUUAAUCAGUUAAUAGAGUUCGGUUAUUCGGAAGAGAUUAGUAAGCGAGCUAUAAAGCAGGGUGGAGCCAAAACAAUUGACGAUGCGCUAAAUUGGAUUGAAAAGGAAGAAGCAAAUGAACUUUCCACAAGACAUAAUGAAAAAUUAAAUAAGCAAAAUAUACAAACUAGUAACACUAAUGAUAGUAACACUAAUGAUAGUAACACUAAUGAUAAUAAAGUCAUAAACGGAGAAGGUAAUGAUUUUUGUAAUAAGAGUUUAAACCCUUCUACUUCCUUUGAUGCUGAAAAUAAUUUAAUAAAUAAUAAAAAACUAACACCAGAGGAAGCUCAACAAAAAGCUAUAGAGUUGCAAAAAAAAUUCGUGAAAAAAAAUUAUUAAAAGAGAAGGAAGAAGAAAUACAAAAAGAAAAAAAUCGACUUGCUAUGGCAAAAGAUAUUCAAAAAAGAAAUGAACAACUUCAAGAAUUCGAAAGAAAAAAAUAUUUAAAACAAUUAGAAAAAGAGAAAGAAGAACAUAAAAAAGAAAGAGAAAAACAAAUAGAAUUGUUAAAAUUAGAAUAUAAAGCAAAAUUUGGUAUUGAUUAUUUACCAGAAUCAGAAAAAAAAAAAAUAUCGAAGAUCUAUCAGAAAAUGAAAGAAGAGAAGAAAUUGCUAUUUUAUUUAAUACUUUAAAAAAUAAAUAUAAAAAUAAAAAAAACGAAUUAAUUAGU
rnacentral:lncRNA from 1 species